rnacentral:lncRNA from 1 species
GUAGGUGAUCACUGUUGGUGACAUUGAAGUGCUGGUGGACAAGCACCCUUUGAAUAAUGCUACAAUAUAACAGAG